CCUACGGGAGGCUGCAGUAGGGACUAUUGCUCAAUGGGGGAAACCCUGAAGCCGCAACGCCGCGUGGAGGAUGAAGGUUUUCGGAUUGUUAACUCCUUUUGUUAGAGAAGAUAAUGACGGUAGUCAACGAAUAAUCACCGGCUAACUCGGUGCCAGCAGCCGCGGUAAAACGGAGGGUGCAAGCGUUACGCGGAAUCACUGGGCGUAAAGAGCGCGUAGGCGGGCUAGAAAGUCAGAUGUGAAAUCCUAUGGCUUAACCAUAGAACUGCAUUUGAAACGGUUAUUCUAGAGUAUAGGAGAGGUACGUGGAAUUCUUGGUGUAGGGGUGAAAUCCGUAGAUAUCACGAGGAAUUCACAUUGCGAAGGCGACCUGCUAGAACAUCACUGACGCUGAGGCUCGAAAGCGUGGGUAGCAAACAGGAUUAGAUACCCCUGUAGUC
rnacentral:rRNA from 1 species